GCUGUAUCACAAUUUGCUCAUCGCAACCGUAUUCAGUCAUUACUCAGAGGUAGGUUCUUGCGAAAUGGCAGAAUGAUUGAAGACAAGAGGCCUACAUCCAUAGCUGCAAGUGAAUUGGGCUUACUGAGGCAAAGACAUACAGUAUCUGGUUUGAGGGAAGGGUUUUUCUCCAGAUUGGACCAUUCUAUUUAUGGUCAAGUAAGCAGCAGCGCCUCUGAUACUUCAUCUAACACUGACAUCAAUGGUAAUGGAAGUGAACAAACCCAAGUAAAUAAUUCACAACAGGUUGUAGAUGGAUUUCAUGAACAAACAGAGUCAAAUAUUGAGGAAACUGACAACCACGGGUUAUCAGAUGGUAGAACUGAUAUAGGAAGUAACAUUGUUGAAGAUAGAAGUUCUCAGGAAUCUACUUCUGCUUCAGAAGUGGAGUCAGGAAAAGUUCCAGAGAAUGAGAUAAGAGACAGGCAACAAACCAUGAGUACUGAAUUUGUUGGAAGCAGAGAUGGUACUGGAGAAGAGGUGAAUGGAAACUGGAGAGAAGGUACCAAUGAAAAUGUAGCUGGAGAGCAAAUUCGUCUGCAGUCAAC
rnacentral:misc_RNA from 1 species